UGGGGAAUAUUGGACAAUGGGGGCAACCCUGAUCCAGCGAUGCCGCGUGUGCGAAGAAGGCCUGCGGGUUGUAAAGCACUUUGAUUGGGGAAGAAAGUCUUGUGUUUAAGAGAUGCAAGAGAUGACGUUACCCAAAGAACAAGCACCGGCUAACUCUGUGCCAGCAGCCGCGGUAAUACAGAGGGUGCGAGCGUUAAUCGGAAUUACUGGGCGUAAAGGGCGCGUAGGCGGUUUAUUAAGUCAUCUGUGAAAUCUCUGGGCUUAACCCAGAACGGCCAAGUGAUACUGUCGCGCUAGAGUGCAGAAGGGGCAAUCGGAAUUCUUGGUGUAGCGGUGAAAUGCGUAGAUAUCAAGAGGAACACCUGAGGUGAAGACGGGUUGCUGGGCUGACACUGACGCUGAGGCGCGAAAGCCAGGGGAGCAAACGGGAUUAGAUACCCGUGUAGUCCCUGAGCGGGCUGGCAAGGCGCAU
rnacentral:rRNA from 1 species